rnacentral:rRNA from 1 species
AACGAACGCUGGCGGCAUGCCUAACACAUGCAAGUCGAACGAACCCUUCGGGUCUUUUGGCGCACGGGGUCGUAACGCGUGGGAAGCUGCACUUAGGGUCGGCAUAACUCCCCGACAGGGGUGCUAAUACCGGAUAAUAUCUUAUGCCCAAAGAUUUAUCGCCCUUGGAGGGGCCCGCGUGGGAUUCGCUAGUUGUUAGGGUAAAAGCCUACCACGGCGAGGAUCCGUAACUUGUAUGAGAGGAUGAUCAGCCACACUAGGACUGAGACACGGCCGAGACUCCUACGGGAGGCAGGAGUGGGGAAUAGUGGACAAUGGGGGAAAGGCUGAUGCAGCACUGAUGGGUGAGCGAUGAAGGUCGUAGGGUUGUAAAGCUCUUGUAACCGGGAAGAUAAUGACAGUACCGGGAGAAUAAGCCCCGGCUAACUCCGUG